AGGGGCGUAGCUCAGUUGGUAGAGCGCCGGUCUCCAAAACCGAAGGUCGUCAGUUCGAAUCUGUCCGCCCCUGCCA
rnacentral:tRNA from 1 species